rnacentral:tRNA from 1 species
GCUUUGGUGGUGUAGUGGUCAGCACGCUCGGCACGUAUUCCAGAGAUCCGUGGUUCGAGUCCCGGCGAGGGCA